CGCUGCCCCACAACCCACUUCCUGCCUCUUUCUUCCUUGUCGAAGGAAGAGAUCACGAGAUACGGUCGCCCUGCUCCAACCCACUUCUCCUCCCCACGCACGCCACCUCCUUUCCCCCUCUCCUUCUCAGACCCACUCGCCGCGAAGACUGGAGGCAGAACGCGGCACGCGUCGGUCGACGAGGAGGAGCUGCGCCGCCGCCGGAGCACCGACUGCAUCUACUACCUCGCGCUCCCCGUUGACCUUCAAGAAGAAGUAGAUUGCACAUCUCAGGGAAAGCAUUCUCCAGUUGUUUUAUUUGUGAACGCCAUUGCUCAGGGCUCCAUAUGCACAUUCACAAACAUUAGUCGCCAAUGGAGCAGAGCGCCAUUGCUGAUGUAGCUUAAAAUGGUGGUCAGUGACCGACUGAGUGUGCUUGAAGUUUGAGGUGGAGUGCAAGGAGGAGGACACCCGGGUGGAGAUCUACUGCGCCGCCAAGCCGGGGCUACUGCUGUCGAUGGUGAGCACCCUGGACACACUGUCCCUCAACAUCCAGCAGUGCGUCGUCGACUGCUUCAACGACUUCGCCAUGCACGCCUCCUUCUCCAAGAUGCAGAGGGAGAUGUGCUGCUGGAUCUUAUAAGGAGGUCACUCUGACAAGACUGGCUAGCUGUGAUUCUCGUGGGAAUAAAGAGGAUGGGACCUGUGAUUGUCGUGGAUCUGGAGGUGACACUGAUCAGGAAGGUAAGUUUACUACGAUCUGGAGUAAUAUUACUAGAUUGCAAAUCAUGAAUUUAGUAGUUACUGCAGAAUAUUGGUUAGUUGGUUCAGUUUACCUUUCAUGUUUAUAUGGUCUAACGACAUCUGACAUAGCAGAUGCUUGGUCCAGCUGGAGAUAGCUUACAUGGUUUUAUUUCACCAUAAUAUAUUUCCAACAAGAUCGUUCCCUAUUGUUUCCUGAAGAAAACUAACGAACUGUAGAAAAAACAUUGUUUAGAGGAGUUAAUAUACAAUUUGUUGUCUUGCAAUUGGCUUCUAAAAUUUACAGCAGGAGUACGCAAUGAGUUUGAACAAAUGAAUGCAAAACCUACCAGAUUUUGCGAUGUUACUGUUUCUUGAUAUCUUCCUCAUUUGUAUUAUGUGUAUUCCUUAGUUGACAGCUAUUUUAAUGUAUACUCUCCCCUUAUUUUGAGGAAACUUCACGGGGCAGAGGAUCACUACAAUUUUUUGUUUCAAAUAGGAAAUGAACAAAACAUGAUUUUGCCAACCUCUCAUGUAGUAUAUAUGUACCUAUUUCAUAAAGUACAUCAGUUUAAAUACAAGUUUGCAACUCAUGACGAUGAGUCGAGGAGUGAAAGAAGUUUGGAACUCACACAAGUGUCAUACUCGCAUGACCAAAUCAGGCUACGAAGACAAGUCUUCAUGCGCACAUGAUUGCCGAUUUUAGUUACACAGUACCAUUUAAAAAGCGGCUGACAUUUGAUGAAUUGCUGAAGGGUGGUGGCUGGACACCAUGGGGGACAGUGUUCCAAGAUGGUUAGACGUUAGCUACUGAUUCACAAUCUAUCAAUCCUAUCUUCAUGUAUCUGUGUGUGUUAGGUUUCGACUUCCUUGUGAGGUGCCCUCCUCUUGAGUAUGCCAAUACUUCACGGUGGUGAGGUCUAUCUCGAUGGUAGACCGGUUGAUUGAUUAAAUGGCAAUAGGAGCAGCUUAGUGAGCCAGUGAUGCAACCGUGCAUCGUCUCUUGACGCUCCACUGUCGACCCCAGCUACUGCAUGUACAUAUGAUAUGCCAAUACUUCACGGUGGUGAGGUCUGUCUCGAUGGUAGACCGGUUGAUUGAUGGUAGACCGGUUGAUUGAUUAAAUGGCAAUAGGAGCAGCUUAGUGAGCCAGUGAUGCAACUGUGCAUCGUCUCUUGACGCAUCACUGUCGACCCCAGCUACUGCAUGUACAUAUGAUCCAUGUAUCGUGUUUAGUUUCUCACUAA